GGCCGAAUGGCUGAGGUUAAAAGCGGUAAACUGUAAAUUUAUUUACGAAUUUUCUUCGACCA
rnacentral:tRNA from 1 species